rnacentral:lncRNA from 1 species
CCGGGUGUUAGUCAGGUAGUCCAGUCCGGGUGUUAGUCAGGUAGUCCAGUCCGGGUGUUAGUCAGGUAGUCCAGUCCGGGUGUUAGUCAGGUAGUCCAGUCCAGGUGUUAGUCAGGUAGUCCAGUCCAGGUGUUAGUCAGGUAGUCCAGUCCAGGUGUUAGACAGGCAGUCCAGGUGUUAGUCAGGCAGUCCAGUCCAGGUGUUAGUCAGGUAGUCCAGUCCAGGUGUUAGUCAGGCAGUCCAGUCCAGGUGUUAGUCAGGCAGUCCAGUCCAGGUGUUAGUCAGGUAGUCCAGUCCAGGUGUUAGUCAGGCAGU